rnacentral:rRNA from 1 species
AUGAACGCUGGCGGCGUGCCUAAUACAUGCAAGUCGAGCGAACAGACGAGAGUGCUUGCACUCUCUGACGUUAGCGGCGGACGGGUGAGUAACACGUGGGUAACCUACCUAUAAGACUGGGAUAACUUCGGGAAACCGGAGCUAAUACCGGAUAAUAUUUAGCUUCGCAUGAAGCAAUAGUGAAAGACGGUUCUGCUGUCACUUAUAGCUGGACCCGCGGUGUAUUAGCUAGUUGGUGAGGUAACGGCUCACCAAGGCAACGAUACAUAGCCGACCUGAGAGGGUGAUCGGCCACACUGGGACUGAGACACGGCCCAGACUCCUACGGGAGGCAGCAGUAGGGAAUCUUCCGCAAUGGACGAAAGUCUGGCGGAGCAAUGCCGCGUGAGUGAAGAAGGUUUUCGGAUCGUAAAACUCUGUUGUAAGGGAAGAACAAGUACGUUAGUAACUGAACGUACCUUGACGGUACCUUACCAGAAAGCCACGGCUAACUACGUG